GACGAACGCUGGCGGCAUGCCUAACACAUGCAAGUCGAGCGAGUAGAUCCCUUCGGGGUGAAGCUAGCGGCGGACGGGUGAGUAACACGUGGGCAACCUGCCUCAUAGAGGGGAAUAGCCUUCCGAAAGGAAGAUUAAUACCGCAUAAGAUUGUAGUACCGCAUGGUAUAGCAAUUAAAGGAGUAAUCCGCUAUGAGAUGGGCCCGCGGCGCAUUAGCUAGUUGGUGAGGUAACGGCUCACCAAGGCGACGAUGCGUAGCCGACCUGAGAGGGUGAUCGGCCACAUUGGGGCUGAGACACGGCCCAGACUCGUACGGGAGGCAGCAGUGGGGAAUAUUGCACAAUGGGGGAAACCCUGAUGCAGCAAUGCCGCGUGAGUGAUGACGGCCUUCGGGUUGUAAAGCUCUGUCUUCAGGGACGAUAAUGACGGUACCCGAGGAGGAAGCCACGGCUAACUACGUGCCAGCAGCCGCGGUAA
rnacentral:rRNA from 1 species